GCAGCCGCGGUAAUUCCAGCUCCAAUAGCGUAUAUUAAAGUUGUUGCAGUUAAAAAGCUCGUAGUUGAACUUCUGUACAGUCUCACUUCUGGCUUCGGUCAAGGUGUUGGCUGUGCAUCCGCUUGCAAAGCUGGUUCGGCCUUAACUGGUCGGCUAGUAGAGUAAGCCCUUUACUUUGAAAAAAUUAGAGUGUUUCAGGCAGGCAAUGGCUCGAAUACAUUAGCAUGGAAUAAUGGAAUAGGACUUUUGUCCAUUUGGUUGGUUCUUGGACUUAAGUAAUGAUUAAAAGGGACAGUUGGGGGCAUUGGUAUUUAACAGUCAGAGGUGAAAUUCUUGGAUUUGUUAAAGACUAACUUAUGCGAAAGCAUUUGCCAAGGAUGUUUUCAUCGAUCAAGAACGAAAGU
rnacentral:rRNA from 1 species